CUGUUUAUCAAAAACAUGGCUCUCUGUAUAUUGAAGAUAGAGAGUCGGACCUGCCCGGUGAAUUUUUUAACGGCCGCGGUACUCUGACCGUGCAAAGGUAGCAUAAUCAUUUGCCUUAUAAUUGAAGGCUAGAAUGAAUGGUUUGACAAGAAUACAACUGUCUCUUUACAAUUACAUAAAAUUUUAUCUGCAGUUGAAGAAGCCUGCAUUUGAAUAAAAGACAAGAAGACCCUAUCGAGCUUAAAAAAAACUGGUGGAAUAACAAACUUAAUCCUAACUUAUAAAUAAAUAAAUAGUCAACUACUGGAAAUUUUGGUUGGGGCGACCGGGGAACAAAAAAAACUUCCUUUAUAAAAAUUUAGAUGCCCAAAUAUUGAUCCAGCAUUAUAUGAUUAAAGAAAUUAGUUUCCGUAGGGAUAACAGCAUUAUCUUUUUUAAGAGUUCUUAUCGAAAAAUUCGUUUGUGACCUCGAUGUUGGACCAGAAUAUCCUAAAGAUGCAGCCGUCUUAAGGG
rnacentral:rRNA from 1 species